GUGGGUAUCAAUUUUCGUGGUUUGAGCAAUAUUUACAUGUUCGUGGGUUUUUAAAUUCGUGGAUUUUAGUUUUCUAAAAAUUUACCUCUGGAUUAUAUACCUGGCAUCUUCAGAUCAUAUUAAACAAGCUUUUGUCCAAGUUUGCUAGAAAUCCAGGAAAGUUUACGAAAGUUAUCAAAAAUUUAAUCAUUGUUAAUUAGCUAUCAAAGGUACCAGGAUUAUAAUUUAG
rnacentral:lncRNA from 1 species